UCAAAAACCCGAAACCAAAUCAAAACAAUGAAACCACAAUGAAAAAAACAAAGAAUUUCGUAAGAAGAGAUGGAGAGAGGAGAAAAGAAGAACGUACAGAGAAACAUUAGGAAACCUAAAACGUGAAAGAAACUCAUGUUUUCUUUUUCCCCAUUUUUUAUUUCAAAAAUAAAAAUAAAAAAAUAAAAAUAAGCAAAACAAAUAAAAAAAUAAAAUCUAACCUUUUAAAACCAGAACAAAGUUAAAUCAAAAUAAUUCUCUCAAAGCACACAUGAUGACUCAAACCCGGGACCCCCAGGCUAAACUAACACAUAACCAACCACC
rnacentral:lncRNA from 1 species